UAGGGAAUAUUGCAAAAUGGGCGAAAGCCCGAUGCAGCAACGCCGCGUGGGCGAUGAAGGCCUUCGGGUCGUAAAGCCCUUUUUGAGGGGAUGAGGAAGGACAGUACCCUCAGAAUAAGCCUCGGCUAACUACGUGCCAGCAGCCGCGGUAAAACGUAGGAGGCGAGCGUUAUCCGGAUUUACUGGGCGUAAAGCGCGUGCAGGCGGAUUGGAGAGUUGGAUGUGAAAGCUCCCGGCUUAACUGGGAGAGGUCGUUCAAUACUUCCAGUCUUGAGUGCAGUAGAGGGAAGUGGAAUUCCGGGUGUAGUGGGGAAAUGCGUAGAUAUCCGGAGGAACACCAGUGGCGAAAGCGGCUUCCUGGACUGUAACUGACGCUCAGACGCGAAAGCUAGGGUAGCAAACG
rnacentral:rRNA from 1 species